AAAUCUUCCAGAAAGGCUUAAAAGUGUCACUCCCCAGUAUCCUCCUUGUCCAGUCACAUCCUUGUGCCCUUUUCCCUGCCCACAGCUGCUGACUGUCCCAAGGAAGGCUGUUGAGCGGUGGCCACCUCCUGAGAAGCUGACUGACAUCCUGCUUCCUUCGCUGUUUAUCUUGGUGCAGCAAUCUCUGUGAUGAUUCUUCCUACUUGCAGUGGGUGAUGCUGCUAAGAAAGGUCCCUGGCUCCUGCUGUGCACGUCAGAGAACAAGCCGCCGCUGUGGGGAAGGAAGCACAGAGAAGAGCUGGGGUGGCACAGCACAACUGCCCGGGCAGAGGACUGACUGGCUCGCCAUGGCUCUGGUUACCUCGAAGAUGACAUGGGGCAGCAUGGAGGUGACCCUGACCAGGCUCUGCACUGUCCUGCUCUGCUGUGGCCCUAUGCUGGCUGGCUGCCGCCGGGUGACCUUCUUCCCAGCAAUGUUAACCCUCCCUGCAGGUGGCUCAGCCACCUUCUUCUGCAAUAUCUCCAUGGAGAACGAGUCCAGCUCGGAGUACAGCCUCAGUUGGUACAAGGAGACCAACCACAGCCAAACCCAAAAAAUCGCUGAGAUCAGCCCCCAGAUCAGCCAGAUCAAUGGCCAGGUGAAGACAGAGAAGUACCUGCUCACCAACCACACUCCUUCCUUCAAGCUUGAGAUCCUGAACCUCCACCAGAACGAUUCAGGCUCCUACUUCUGUGGUCUGAUCACCUUCUUUGAAAACAAUAAUGUGAUGGAGAGCAGUAGAUCCCAGCUGGUGGUCACAGCAGCCCCUGAGAAGACGAAUGCUACUGAUGAGCCUGAGACAGAGGAAAGCAGCCCCCCAGACUAUAUCAAGGCCAUGGUCCUGGGGAUCCUGUUGCUGGUUGGGGCGGUUGUGCUGCUGAUCUUUGGCUACCUCACCAUCACGUACAGGAGAGGAGGUAUGAUCCCCUGCAGAGGCCAUGCUGUGCCAAGGGGCUGGGUUCUGCCAGGGGACCUGAUGGAUGAUGCUAACCCAGAAAGCCCAGCUGGGACCUUGGGGCAGCCAGAUGCCUGCAACUCGCUGGGGUACAUGGACUGGUUCAGUGUGCUAAAACCAGCUUUAGCAUGCCCCCAUGGGACAGGUAUCUCCAUGCCUAGGGGAGGAGGGUGCUUUUGGGCCCUGCUUGCCCUUCGUAGAGACCCCAGACCACAUGGUGUGGCUCUGUGCUACUCAGUAGUGUGGUCUGUUAAUGCUGUAGGAGUCCCUUCCAUACACCUUGUAUGGGCACCUUGUCACUCUCAUCACCUCCCUGCUGUGGGCACCUGUGGGGCUUUCCCAGAAGUGACCCCCAAAGAAUCACACCCCACUAAUCCUAAUUAAACCCUGGGCUGGUAUCACACUUGUCUUUGUAAUGCUCAGUGUGUUAGACCCCAAAGGGAGAAGGGGAAAGUGGGGUGCAAUGGUUGUGGUGUCCAGUGCUCUUGCAGGACAUGGGGACUGGGUCAGCCUCAGAUGCUCAUGCUGUCUUGGCAUGCAAGCAUCUUCUAACCAAACGUGUUACUUUGCAGAUGUACAGAAACCACAAAGUGAAAACACGCCAGCGAAGGAAGAGAAACCCCCUGUGGUGUCCGUGUCCACUGUGGACUAUGGCGUGCUGGAGUUUCAGUGUGAUCAGCACAUCCAGGUCCCCCCAGAGACCUCACCAGUUGACCAGAC